rnacentral:rRNA from 1 species
UACGUAGGGAGCAAGCGUUGUCCGGAAUCAUUGGGCGUAAAGCGCACGUAGGCGGUUCGUUAUGUCGGAUGUGAAAGCCCUUGGCUUAACCGAGGAAGUGCAUCCGAAACUGGCGAGCUAGAGUACGAAAGAGGAUCGCGGAAUUCCCGGUGUAGAGGUGAAAUUCGUAGAUAUCGGGAGGAACACCGGUGGCGAAGGCGGCGAUCUGGGUCGAUACUGACGCUGAGGUGCGAAAGCGUGGGGAGCAAACAGG